rnacentral:rRNA from 1 species
UUGCCUACGGGCGGCUGCAGUGGGGAAUCUUGCGCAAUGGGCGAAAGCCUGACGCAGCGACGCCGCGUGGAGGAUGAAGGUCUUAGGAUUGUAAACUCCUGUCAGGUGGGAAGAAAGAACAAUCUCUAAUACAGAUUGGUGAUGACGGUACCACCAAAGGAAGCACCGGCUAACUUCGUGCCAGCAGCCGCGGUAAUACGAAGGGUGCAAACGUUAUUCGGAUUUACUGGGCGUAAAGGGUGUGUAGGUGGCAUAUUAUGUCUGUUGUUAAAGACUCCGGCUUACCUGGAGAAGUGCAGCGGAAACUAAUGUGCUAGAGGAUGGAAGAGAGGAGUGGAAUUCCCGGAGUAGCGGUAAAAUGCGUAGAUCUCGGGAGGAACACCAAUGGCGAAGGCAGCUCCUUGGUCCAUACCUGACACUGAGACACGAAAGCGUGGGGAGCAAACAGGAUUAGAUACCCGGGUAGUC